rnacentral:rRNA from 1 species
UACGUAGGGGGCUAGCGUUGUCCGGAUUUAUUGGGCGUAAAGAGCGUGUAGGCGGCCAGGUAGGUCUGGUGUGAAAACUCGAGGCUUAACCUCGAGAUGUCAUCGGAAACCAUCUGGCUAGAGUCCGGAAGAGGAGAGUGGAAUUCCUGGUGUAGCGGUGAAAUGCGCAGAUAUCAGGAAGAACACCAAUGGCGAAAGCAGCUCUCUGGGACGUAACUGACGCUGAGACGCGAAAGCGUGGGGAGCAAACAGG